GAUAUUGCGACAAUGGGCGAAAGCCUGACGCAGCAACGCCGCGUGCGGGAGGAAGGCCUUCGGGUUGUAAACCGCUUUUCGGGGGGAAGAGAGAGGACGGUACCCCCGGAAUAAGUCUCGGCUAACUACGUGCCAGCAGCCGCGGUAAAACGUAGGAGGCGAACGUUAUCCGGAUUUACUGGGUGUAAAGCGCGUGCAGGCGGUGGCGUAAGUUGUGCGUGAAAGCGCCCGGCUCAACCGGGCGAGGACGUGCAAAACUGCGCGGCUAGAGGGAGUAGAGGCGUGUGGAAUUCCGGGUGUAGUGGUGAAAUGCGUAGAUAUCCGGAGGAACACCAAUGGCGAAGGCGACACGCUGGGCCUUACCUGACGCUAAGACGCGAAAGCAUGGGGAGCGAACGGGAUUAGAAACCCCGGUAGUCCAUGCCGUAAACGAUGCUGACUAGGUGUUGUUCUCCUUCGGAGGGCAGUGCCGAAGCUAACGUGAUAAGUCAGCCACCUGGGGAGUACGGCCGCAAGGUUAAAACUCAAAGGAAUUGACGGGGGCCCGCACAAGCAGCGGAGCGUGUGGUUUAAUUCGAGGCUACACGAAGAACCUUACCUGGGCUUGACAUGACGGUGGUAGGGAAGCGAAAGCGGACCGACCUUCGGGAGCCGUCACAGGUGCUGCAUGGCUGUCGUCAGCUCGUGUCGUGAGAUGUCCAGUUAAGUCUGGUAACGAGCGCAACCCUCAUCGUCAGUUACAGGUGUCUGGCGAGACUGCCCGUUGAACGCGGGAGGAAGGCGGGGAUGACGUCAAGUCAGCAUGGCCUUUAUGUCCAGGGCUACACACACGCUACAAUGGCCGGUACAAUGGGUCGCCAACCCGCGAGGGGGAGCCAAUCCACCAAAGCCGGUCUCAGUUCGGAUUGCAGGCUGCAACCCGCCUGCAUGAAGUCGGAGUUGCUAGUAACCGCAGGUCAGCUAUACUGCGGUGAUACGUUCCCGGGCCUUGUACACACCGCCCGUCACGUCACGGAAGCUGGUCAUGCCUGAAGUCGGUGGGCUAACCGCAAGGAGGCACCGCCUAAGGCAGGGCUGGUGACUGGG
rnacentral:rRNA from 1 species